AUACCUUUAAUUUAAUGGUAAAAUAAUAAUCUACGGAAUUAUAAAUAUAGGUUCAAUUCCUAUAGGGUAUU
rfam:Pachysolen tannophilus NRRL Y-2460 unplaced genomic scaffold PACTA_scaffold_10, whole genome shotgun sequence.